UUGAUGAGAUUUUGGUGACUAGUCAUUGCUAAAGAUACUCAUUUCGAAAACUUCAUAGUUCGUCAAUACCGAAUUCUGGUAGAUCGACAAAUUUCUAAUUGAGUGACAGUGCCUUUUGUCAAUGGAAAUACCCAAUGAAUGUGGAAGUAAAGAAAGUGCACAUUUCUAGAGCUUAAGUCUAGGCGCAUAAGGCAAGGGUAUAGUGAAUGUUGCCCAUGCAAAUUUAGACAAAAUCAACAUGAACCCUUUCAUGAAAAAAUGCAAUAUUAUGCCCAUGCAAAUUUAGACAAAAUCAACAUGAACCCUUUCAUGAAAAAAUGCAAUAUUAUGCCCAUGCAAAUUUAGACAAAAUCAUAAUUUUAAAAAACUGCAACUCUUCAAAGCUCAAACAAGUAAUAAUUCUAAAGACGGCAACCAAUAGAAGCUUUACUUAUUUAAAUUGUACAAUAUAAGGCACUACGGUAGCUCUUUUCAUUAUUUUAUUGUUAGCAAUGACCGAACAUCAUGUAAUCUGAAAAAAGAGACUACUUGCCAUAAAAAGAACAAACUUCAACUACAUUAGGAAUGCGCCAACCUAUUUUAAAAGACAUAUUUAGAAGACUACAAAAUAACACAAGAUCCAUACCGUAAUUGGCACCAAAAUAAACACUGUUAUCAAAUAUGCCAAAAGGAAUAAAAAGAAAGGUUUGGGAAAUCCCAAAGCUUUUCCUUGUAGCUGAUAAAAUUGCUGAAAGCUCAACUAGCUCAGCUAAGGUCUUUGUUUUCCCAAAAGACCAAAGUCAACAAACCAAUAGGGAAAGUCAAAAUCUUAAUUCGAUUCCUUUCAAUUGUAUAGCAAACAAACAAGCUGCAAUUCCCCAAAGCAAAAACCCAGAUCUGAUAUAAAAGACAGCUUCCAGACAAUCAAUUUUCAGGUAACACAAUCAAGGAAACCCUAACCCCACAUCCCCGAAAAAGAAAAAACACAAACCCAUGUAAACCUAAAAAUCCAUAGAAUCAAAAAUCACCAGAAAAAUCCAUAGAAUGCAAUUAAUAGAAAAUACCCAGAAAGCCAAAUAAACAAACAGGCACAUAAAAUUAAGAUUUUUAGUUAUAAAAAUGAAGCUUGAAGAAAAAAGAAAGAAAAAAACACUGACUGGUGAGACGGUGGCGUGG
rnacentral:misc_RNA from 1 species